rnacentral:rRNA from 1 species
UACGUAGGGGGCAAGCGUUGUUCGGAUUCAUUGGGCGUAAAGGGUGCGUAGGCGGCGCGGUAAGUCGCGUGUGAAAUCUCGGGGCUUAACUCCGAAACUGCAUUCGAUACUGCGGUGCUUGAGGACUGGAGAGGAGACUGGAAUUCAUGGUGUAGCAGUGAAAUGCGUAGAGAUCAUGAGGAAGACCAGUGGCGAAGGCGGGUCUCUGGACAGUUCCUGACACUGAGACACGAAGGCCAGGGGAGCAAACGGG